CUCCAAGUUCGCUACAAUGAGGACUGCCGUGUUCCUGUUUGCAAUUCUGGUCGUGCUCGGCACCUUCAUCGCACAGUACCCUGCAGUGUACCGGACAUCAUAGUCACGGAAUUUCACGUUAAUUCUCAAAUGGAGACGACCAGCUGCAGAUGGACCACUUCUUAUCCUCAAGGGGAUUACACACGCACACUUUUGUUCACGUUAAGUUUCUAUGCCAAAUAUUUGCUGUAACUACUGCUUACUGACUGUGUAAGUAGUUUAAAUUAAACAAUUCAAAUCACUAGGUAUUUCUAUUUCACUUCACUUGUAAUGUUAUAUUAAAAUAUGAAUAUGAAAUUACAUGUAAUUUAGAAUGUGAAUAAAAAUAAUCAAACGCA